rnacentral:misc_RNA from 1 species
GCUCUUCUGGUCGCAGCUGAUGAUGCAGAGCGGCAGGUCAGCGCCCUGCUUGCCCAUGCAUCCGAACGAACAGCCGAACACCUGCGUGAAGCAGCCCAUAAGGCACUGGAUGAUGCCGUUCAGCUGCCCCGGGGACGCCGAUGCUGGCGUCGUCAGCAGCGCCGCCGCGUUGCUGUCGCCGCUGCUGAAGGCAACGGUGGCACUCGCCCCGGCGGCCGCGCCGGCCAGCGCGACGAAGAGAAGCACGAGCAAGGAGCCGGUGCUGGCGCGAGCACUGCCGGUCAUCGCCGCGGCCAUGGUCGUGUGUGCGGGAGGGCGUCGUCGAAUGACGGUGAGCGAGCUUCACUGAUGCUGGGGAGG